rnacentral:rRNA from 1 species
GGAAUCUUGCGCAAUGGGCGAAAGCCUGACGCAGCGACGCCGCGUGGGGGAGGAAGCUUUUCGGAGUGUAAACCUCUGUCAGGGGGGAAGAAUGGGCCGGGGAGGAAAUGCCUCGGUUUUGACGGUACCUCCAAAGGAAGCACCGGCUAACUCUGUGCCAGCAGCCGCGGUAAUACAGAGGGUGCGAGCGUUGUUCGGAAUUACUGGGCGUAAAGCGCGCGCAGGCGGCCCUUUAAGUCUACCCGUGAAAUGCCGGAGCUCAACUCCGCGCACGCCGGGGGAUACUGGGGGGCUGGAGACAUGUAGAGGCAAGCGGAAUUCCGGGUGUAGCGGUGGAAUGCGUAGAUAUCCGGAAGAACACCUGAGGCGAAGGCGGCUUGCUGGGCAUGAUCUGACGCUGAGGCGCGAAAGCGUGGGGAGCAAA